rnacentral:rRNA from 1 species
GACGAACGUUGGCGGCGUGCUUAACACAUGCAAGUCGAACGGAAAGGCCCUGCUUUUGUGGGGUGCUCGAGUGGCGAACGGGUGAGUAACACGUGAGUAACCUGCCCUUGACUUUGGGAUAACUUCAGGAAACUGGGGCUAAUACCGGAUAGGAGCUCCUGCUGCAUGGUGGGGGUUGGAAAGUUUCGGCGGUUGGGGAUGGACUCGCGGCUUAUCAGCUUGUUGGUGGGGUAGUGGCUUACCAAGGCUUUGACGGGUAGCCGGCCUGAGGGGGUGACCGGCCACAUUGGGACUGAGAUACGGCCCAGACUCCUACGGGAGGCAGCAGUGGGGAAUAUUGCACAAUGGGCGGAAGCCUGAUGCAGCAACGCCGCGUGCGGGAUGACGGCCUUCGGGUUGUAAACCGCUUUCGCCUGUGACGAAGCGUGAGUGACGGUAAUGGGUAAAGAAGCACCGGCUAACUACGUGCCAGCAGCCGCGGUGAUACGUAGGGUGCGAGCGUUGUCCGGAUUUAUUGGGCGUAAAGGGCUCGUAGGUGGUUGAUCGCGUCGGAAGUGUAAUCUUGGGGCUUAACCCUGAGCGUGCUUUCGAUACGGGUUGACUUGAGGAAGGUAGGGGAGAAUGGAAUUCCUGGUGGAGCGGUGGAAUGCGCAGAUAUCAGGAGGAACACCAGUGGCGAAGGCGGUUCUCUGGGCCUUUCCUGACGCUGAGGAGCGAAAGCGUGGGGAGCGAACAGGCUUAGAUACCCUGGUAGACCACGCUGUAAACGGUGGGUACUAGGUGUGGGGUCCAUUCCACGGGUUCCGUGCCGUAGCUAACGCUUUAAGUACCCCGCCUGGGGAGUACGGCCGCAAGGCUAAAACUCAAAGGAAUUGACGGGGCCCCGCACAAGCGGCGGAGCAUGCGGAUUAAUUCGAUGCAACGCGUAGAACCUUACCUGGGUUUGACAUGGAUCGGGAGUGCUCAGAGAUGGGUGUGCCUCUUUUGGGGUCGGUUCACAGGUGGUGCAUGGCUGUCGUCAGCUCGUGUCGUGAGAUGUUGGGUUAAGUCCCGCAACGAGCGCAACCCUUGUUCACUGUUGCCAGCACGUUAUGGUGGGGACUCAGUGGAGACCGCCGGGGUCAACUCGGAGGAAGGUGGGGAUGACGUCAAGUCAUCAUGCCCCUUAUGUCCAGGGCUUCACGCAUGCUACAAUGGCUGGUACAGAGAGUGGCGAGCCUGUGAGGGUGAGCGAAUCUCGGAAAGCCGGUCUCAGUUCGGAUUGGGGUCUGCAACUCGACCUCAUGAAGUCGGAGUCGCUAGUAAUCGCAGAUCAGCAACGCUGCGGUGAAUACGUUCCCGGG